rnacentral:tRNA from 1 species
GGGCGAGUGGUGGAAUUGGUAGACACGCUAGCCUUAGGAGCUAGUGCCAUUAUAUGGUGUGGAGGUUCGAGUCCUCUCUCGCCCACCA